rnacentral:rRNA from 1 species
AGCAGCCGCGGUAAUUCCAGCUCCAAUAGCGUAUAUUAAAGUUGUUGCAGUUAAAAAGCUCGUAGUUGAAUUUCGGGGAUCAAUACGUCGGUCGUGCUUCGGUACGUACUGGCGUCAUUGAUUUCUCCCUUCUGACGAACCAUGAUGUCAUUAACUUGGUGUCAUGGGGAAAUCAGGACUGUUACUUUAGAAAAAAAUUAGAGUAGUUUAAAGCAGGCUCACGCUUGAAUACAUUAGCAUGGAAUAAUGAAAUAGGACGUUCGAUCCUAUUUUGUUGGUUUUUAGGAUCAACGUAAUGAUUAAUAGGGAUAGUUGGGGGCAUUAGUAUUCAAUUGUCAGAGGUGAAAUUCUUGGAUUUAUUGAAGACUAACUACUGCGAAAGCAUUUGCCAAGGAUGUUUUCAUUAAUCAAGAACGAAAGUUAGGGGAUCGAAGACGAUCAGAUACCGUC